rnacentral:rRNA from 1 species
GGCUUACCNUGCAGUCGAGGGGCAGCAUUUCAGUUUGCUUGCAAACUGGAGAUGGCGACCGGCGCNCGGGUGAGUAACACGUAUCCAACCUGCCGAUAACUCGGGGAUAGCCUUUCGAAAGAAAGAUUAAUACCCGAUGGNAUAAUCAGACCGCAUGGUCUNAUUAUUAAAGAAUUUCGGUUAUCGAUGGGGAUGCGUUCCAUUAGGCAGUUGGUGAGGUAACGGCUCACCAAACCUUCGAUGGAUAGGGGUUCUGAGAGGAAGGUCCCCCACAUUGGAACUGAGACACGGUCCAAACUCCUACGGGAGGCAGCAGUGAGGAAUAUUGGUCAAUGGGCGCAGGCCUGAACCAGCCAAGUAGCGUGAAGGAUGACUGCCCUAUGGGUUGUAAACUUCUUUUAUAUGGGAAUAAAGUUUUCCACGUGUGGAAUUUUGUAUGUACCAUAUGAAUAAGGAUCGGCUAACUCCGUGCCAGCAGCCGCGGUAAUACGGAGGAUCCGAGCGUUAUCCGGAUUUAUUGGGUUUAAAGGGAGCGUAGGUGGACAGUUAAGUCAGUUGUGAAAGUUUGCGGCUCAACCGUAAAAUUGCAGUUGAUACUGGCUGUCUUGAGUACAGUAGAGGUGGGCGGAAUUCGUGGUGUAGCGGUGAAAUGCUUAGAUAUCACGAAGAACUCCGAUUGCGAAGGCAGCUCACUGGACUGCAACUGACACUGAUGCUCGAAAGUGUGGGUAUCAAACAGGAUUAGAUACCCUGGUAGUCCACACAGUAAACGAUGAAUACUCGCUGUUUGCGAUAUACAGUAAGCGGCCAAGCGAAAGCAUUAAGUAUUCCACCUGGGGAGUACGCCGGCAACGGUGAAACUCAAAGGAAUUGACGGGGGCCCGCACAAGCGGAGGAACAUGUGGUUUAAUUCGAUGAUACGCGAGGAACCUUACCCGGGCUUAAAUUGCAUUUGAAUANUNUGGAAACAGNNUAGCCGCAAGGCAAAUGUGAAGGUGCUGCAUGGUUGUCGUCAGCUCGUGCCGUGAGGUGUCGGCUUAAGUGCCAUAACGAGCGCAACCCUUAUCUUUAGUUACUAACAGGUCAUGCUGAGGACUCUAGAGAGACUGCCGUCGUAAGAUGUGAGGAAGGUGGGGAUGACGUCAAAUCAGCACGGCCCUUACGUCCGGGGCUACACACGUGUUACAAUGGGGGGUACAGAAGGCAGCUACCUGGUGACAGGAUGCUAAUCCCAAAAGCCUCUCUCAGUUCGGAUCGAAGUCUGCAACCCGACUUCGUGAAGCUGGAUUCGCUAGUAAUCGCGCAUCAGCCAUGGCGCGGUGAAUACGUUCCCGGGCCUUGUACACACCGCCCGUCAAGCCAUGAAAGCCGGGGGUACCUGAAGUACGAACCGCAGAGCUCNAGGAUA